rnacentral:rRNA from 1 species
UUUUAGAUGUAAGAAAGAAAACUAAAUUAUUAAUAGUUAUGAUCUUUAAAGUUAAAGAAUUUGGCGGUAUUUUAGUCUAUUCAGAGGAACCUGUCCUAUAAUUGAUGAUCCACGAUUUAUUAAACCAAUAUUUUUAGUUUGUAUAUCGUCGUAUUUAAAUAUUUUAAAAGAAAAUAAAUAUUUGAAAUUUUAAAUUUUUAAAAGCAUUUCAGAUCAAGAUGUAGUUUAUAUAUUGGAAGAGAUGGGUUACAUUAAUAAUAUUUGUGGAUAGGUAAUUGAAAAUUACUUUGAAAAUGGAUUUGAAAGUAAUUUUAAAUAUUUUUUUAUUAUGAGUUAGCUCUAAAAUAUG